rnacentral:rRNA from 1 species
ACUGCGAAUGGCUCAUUAUAUCAGUUAUAGUCUACUCGAUAGUACCUUACUACUUGGAUAACCGUAGUAAUUCUAGAGCUAAUACAUGCAUCAAUACCCAACUGCUUGUCGGACGGGUAGCAUUUAUUAGAUUGAAACCAAUGCAGUCUUCGGGCUGGUAUUGUGUUGAGUCAUAAUAACUGUGCGGACCGUACUUKUGUGCGGUAAAUCGAUUGAGUUUCUGCCCUAUCAGCUU